UCCCAUAGGUUGCUAUUGAAUUUCAUUUUCAACCGACAUCUUGUUCCGAAUUACGAGUUGAAGAGUAUGGUUACAAAGAAAAAUUUGUUGAUUUUUCCAAAUCGGUUUCUCGGAAUUUUCUGAACCGAUUUUGACAAAGACAAAUGAAAGAUACAGUAAUGCCAUUGACUGCUGCUGAAUUUCAUUCGGUUCUGACUCUUGCUUCCGGAGUUACAGGGGUGUUAGUAAGGAUACACUGGAAUUUCCCAUAUAAAUCGGUACAAUCGUAAUACCUCAGAGGCUAAAAACUAUUGAAAUGGUCACCAAAUUACUUCUAAUCGCAGAUCUAGAUCACUGAUUGCCAAUCAAACAUUCUUUGAAUAUAUUGUCCACUAUCGAAGAUUCCGGAAGUCCGGAAUUCCGGGCAUAUUCCACAAUUAAAGUCACAUCGGUUCUUCGGUGAUGACUGAACCGAUUUUCUCAAACCAAGUCUCAAAUGGAAGGCAAAAUAUGCAGUUGAGUAUUGCGUAGCCGCCCCUUCCCCCCACCCCUCCCCACCUUGCCCUUACACCUCCCUCCUUCAUCACUCCCCUCUUCUUGGAUCACCCUCACACCCAGAUUUCCUUCAUCCACCCCGUAUACCGAAAUAAGAUGAAGGAUUUCUGACGCAUCCUCCACACCCACUCUACUAAACCCCCAUUCCCUACACGUUCAAACGCAUUCCACCAACCUUUGCAAAUUAUAAUCACAUGAAGAUAACAUUGAACUCAUGCUUAUUAAGCUAAUCAAAUAUUAUUCUUUUGCCUUUCUUAUAUAGAAAGGUUAUGCAAUUGCUCCAACAACCGACUUUCUAACCGAGGCCCGGAGGGCCGAGUCUCAUAUAGCAUUCGACUCAGUUCGCCGAGAUCGCAAAAUAUCUGUGUGUAUGUAUGUGUGUAUGUAUGUAUGUAUGUAUGUGUGUAUGUGUAUGUGUGUAUGUAUGUGUGUGUAUGUGCGGAUUUGUUAACAAAAUGUCCACAUCGGUUACUCGGAGAUGGCUGAACCGAUUUUUACAAACUAAGAUUCAAAUGAAAGGUAUAAUAUUCCCAUAGGUUGCUAUUGAAUUUCAUUUUCAACCGACAUCUUGUUCCGAAUUACGAGUUGAAGAGUAUGGUUACAAAGAAAAAUUUGUUGAUUUUUCCAAAUCGGUUUCUCGGAAUUUUCUGAACCGAUUUUGACAAACUUAAUUUUAAAUGAAAGGUCCAUCAGCUGCUGUUGAAUUUUGUGUGGAUCCGAGUUCUGGUUCCUGAAUUACAGGGUGAUACGUACGAUCACGCAGCAAAUCCCGAUUCUAACGAAUUCUGCGAUGAAUGUAAAAAAGUGAUUUUUUUUCCAAAAUGUAAACACAACUGUUGAAUUUGUAGAUCUAGGUCCCCAACAGUCAUUCAAAGUCUCUUUGGCCACACUGGCCACCAUCGACGGAUCCGGAAGCAUCCAAAGUCAGAAUAACGGUUAUAUUGGUUUCUCGAAAAUGGCUAGAUUUGCUCAACUUAGUCUCAAAUGAAAGGUGUUGCGUCACCAGAAACUGAUAUUAAAUUCCAUCUCCAUCCGACUUCCAGCACCGGAGUUACGGGUUGUGGAGGUCGAUCACAUAGAAUUCCGAUUCAAACCGAUACCGCGAUGAAUGCAAAAAGGUGCUCUUAUAUAUACUUACCAAGUGUAAUAAGAAUGAAAGACAUUUCCAUAAAGUUAUAUUGUACGAACCAGCUAUUAAAUCAUAGUUUGGAGAAAUGAGAAAGGCACAAUUGCACCUCUAGGUGGAUUAAAACAGGUUUUUUGGAUUGGUCUCACUGUGCGUGUACUGCUGACGCAUACAAGCGUACUGCUAAGGACGGUACAGAAGUAGUACCGGCCAAAAUCGCCACCGUUGAGAAGAUUGAGGAAAUUGUGGCCAGUGACGAUACGGAAGCAUAUUUCAAAGGGGAAGGUGUAAUUUGCUCUAGUCCGUAUCGGUCCUCUAUGAAUAGUCUUGAUUUGAUAGCGACGAAACGAGAAGCAGUAGUAUCAGACGUUAAUGAAACACAUUCUUCAAUUCCCGUUGAACCAUCUCGGCUUAUGAUUCCGGAAAACUAACAGGAGUGUGAUGAAAUGAAUGCUAAAAGUGUUAACGUUCUAAACCGCUCUUUUCCAAAACCGCUUGACGCGGCUUCACAUGCAUUGAUUGAAAGAUCAGAUGAAGGCAUAACAUUUGCAGUUGUGGCAGGAUUGCGUUGUUCAUUCUUAAUUGAUUCCGGUGCGCAAGUCAAUACAUUCAUCGAGGACUCGUUCCAAAAUUUAAUGACAGACUCCAAGCAUAGGAACGAAAUAUAUAAUGUAACAAGCCAAACGUAUAGACCACUGAAAGCAUAUGCAUCCGUCGGAGAUAUCGAGGUGACUGCAACAUUCCUUGCAUAUCUGUAUAUCUCAGAGGAUAGACCGAUUUUUAUGGAAAAGUUUUAUGUGGUCAACGAAGCGCGUGCUCUUUUGAGAAGAGCAACGGCGUCACGAUACAGCAUUUUAUUGCUCGGACUUAAGGACCUGUACAAUAUCAGCGAGUUGGACUGCAACAAUCAUUGUGUGCAGGUGAGAUUGCAGUGCUUUCUACGGGAGAAAUUUUCCCCAAGUUUAACGUUCCACCUGUAAAAAUCCACUACGAUAAAUCAAAGCCUCCAUGCAGAAAUAUUUUUCUCAAUAUUCCAUUGGCCGUAAAGCCUCUAGUGGAAAAACGUAUCCAAGAGCUAACGAAGGCAAACAUUAUAGAACCAGUGACCGACGGGAUGGAUACGUCCUUUUGCUCUUCUAUGUUGGUGGCGCCUAAAGGGAAAGAAGACAUCAGGUUGGUCAUUGAUCUGAGAGACCCUAAUCGGUAUAUUUAUCGAACUUCAUUCUCAAUGCCAACUUUGGAACAGAUUUUGGCUGAACUAAAUGGAGCUACUUCGUUCUCCACUAUCGACAUAUCCAGUGCAUUUUUCCACAUCGAACUGGAUGAGGUAUCAAGGCAUCUAACCAACUUCUUCACUGAGUUUGCAAUGUUCUGAUGCGUACGACUGCCUUUUGGACUCUGCAAUGCUCCGGAUUUAUUCCAAGAGACACUGCAACGGAAGAUAUUGGAAGGGUGUAAAGGAUGCAGAAAUUACCAGGAUGAUAUUUCCUAAAAAACUAUUACUAUUGAAUUCCUUGUUUUAAAAUUUUUUAUAAAAAAAAUCUUUUGUCCCCUCUCUUGUAUAUAGAAUCUUAUUCCUAGUCUUAAGAUAGCUGUAAAAAAAUUCUCUUUUAUAAAAAAAUAUUUCAACAUUGUAACCUCCUAGUUUUAAGAUAUCCAAAUGUAAAAACAAAUGAAUUUGGAACCGCCAAGC